CGCGCCUCAGCCAAUCGCGUGCUCGCCCGCCCCCCGCGGCCGCGGCGAGGCUGGCUCUGGGAAGAGGAAGAAGAACAUUCGCCCUCCUCCUACCAGCGCGCGGGCGGCGGCGGCGGCGGCGGCACCGGGGUCACGAACUCUGACCUUUCACUGACAAAAACAAUAACAAACCCCUCCUUCCCCGCGACCCCGGCGGCGCCUCCGGGCCCGCCCUCGCCGCCGCGCUCCCACCUGGGCGUCUCGUUUCUCGCCCGCUGACCUGCGAGCCCGGGGCUCCCGCCAUCCACCGACGCCGGGAAACCGGCCUCCCCGCGCCCUGCCCUCCGCGCCGGGGGCCGCCCGCCGCAGACACGGGACCUGCUUCGAGGUCGCUUUGGCGCCAAAUCCUGAGGUUCUCUAAUGAUCUUGCUUCACCAUGGCUACAAAUAUGGAGGGGCUGGUUCAGCACAGAGUGGGGACCCAGCAGGUGGCUGAGGUACCACGUACACAGACUUCUCGGCCGGAAUCUCCAGGGAUGACCAGCCCCUCCCCGCGCAUCCAGAUAAUCUCCACUGAUUCUGCGGUAGCCUCACCUCAGCGCAUUCAGAUCGUGACAGACCAGCAGACAGGACAGAAGAUCCAGAUAGUCACCGCAGUGGACGCCUCCGGAUCCCCCAAGCAGCAGUUCAUCCUGACCAGCCCAGAUGGAGCUGGAACUGGGAAGGUGAUCCUGGCUUCCCCGGAGACCUCCAGUGCCAAGCAGCUCAUAUUCACCACCUCGGACAACCUCGUCCCUGGCAGGAUCCAAAUCGUCACGGACUCUGCUUCUGUGGAGCGUCUUCUGGGGAAGGCCGACGUCCAGCGGCCGCAGGUGGUAGAGUACUGUGUGGUGUGUGGCGACAAAGCCUCGGGCCGUCACUAUGGGGCUGUCAGUUGUGAAGGUUGCAAAGGUUUCUUCAAAAGGAGCGUAAGGAAAAAUUUGACGUACAGCUGCCGGAGCAAUCAAGACUGCAUCAUCAAUAAACACCACCGGAACCGCUGUCAGUUUUGCCGGCUGAAAAAAUGCUUGGAGAUGGGCAUGAAGAUGGAAUCUGUGCAGAGUGAACGGAAGCCCUUUGAUGUGCAGCGGGAGAAACCAAGCAAUUGUGCUGCUUCAACAGAGAAAAUCUAUAUCCGGAAGGACCUGAGAAGUCCUCUGAUAGCCACACCAACAUUUGUGGCAGAUAAAGAUGGAGCAAGACAAACAGGUCUUCUUGAUCCAGGGAUGCUUGUGAACAUCCAGCAACCUUUGAUACGUGAGGAUGGUACGGUUCUCCUGGCCACAGAUUCCAAGGCUGAAACAAGCCAGGGAGCCCUGGGCACACUGGCAAAUGUAGUGACUUCCCUUGCCAACCUAAGUGAAUCCCUUAACAAUGGUGACACUUCAGAAAUGCAGCCAGAGGACCAGUCUGCAAGUGAGAUUACUCGGGCAUUCGAUACCUUAGCUAAAGCACUUAACACCACAGACAGCUCCUCGCCUCCAAGCCUGGCGGACGGGAUAGACGGCAGUGGAGGAGGGAGCAUCCACGUCAUCAGCAGAGACCAGUCCACACCCAUCAUUGAGGUCGAAGGCCCCCUCCUUUCAGACACCCACGUCACAUUUAAGCUCACGAUGCCCAGCCCGAUGCCCGAGUACCUCAACGUGCACUACAUCUGCGAGUCCGCGUCCCGCCUGCUCUUCCUCUCCAUGCACUGGGCCAGGUCCAUCCCGGCCUUUCAGGCACUUGGGCAGGACUGCAACACCAGCCUGGUGCGGGCCUGCUGGAACGAGCUCUUCACCCUCGGCCUGGCCCAGUGCGCCCAGGUCAUGAGCCUCUCCACCAUCCUGGCCGCCAUCGUCAACCACCUGCAGAACAGCAUCCAGGAAGAUAAACUUUCUGGCGACCGGAUAAAGCAAGUCAUGGAGCACAUCUGGAAGCUUCAGGAGUUCUGUAACAGUAUGGCGAAGCUGGAUAUAGACGGCUAUGAGUAUGCAUACCUUAAAGCUAUAGUUCUCUUUAGCCCCGAUCAUCCAGGUUUGACCAGCACAAGCCAGAUUGAAAAAUUCCAAGAAAAGGCACAGAUGGAGUUGCAGGACUAUGUUCAGAAAACCUACUCAGAAGACACCUACCGGUUGGCCCGGAUUCUCGUCCGCCUGCCAGCACUCAGGCUGAUGAGCUCCAACAUAACAGAAGAACUUUUUUUUACUGGUCUCAUUGGCAAUGUUUCAAUAGACAGCAUAAUCCCCUACAUCCUCAAGAUGGAGACGGCAGAGUAUAACGGCCAGAUCACCGGAGCCAGCCUAUAGCUCACACCUCACACCUGCCGAGGAGCACAGGGUCUGCCCAGGACCGCUCCAAUACAAAGAGAAUAAAGUAGUGGUAUUUUGGUAUGUGCAGAUAUUUUCAGUAUCUUCUUAGCUAUUUCCUACCUGGUUUCUUCUUAUCUGCUAAUCCCAGACAGUAGCAACUAAAAGACUAGUAGGAUCCUUUCCUGCCGUAAGAAAUGUUUUAAUGCCUUUUGAUGAAGCAGCGGAUUUUGGAACAAUCUUUUAACUCAGUUUUUAUUUAGAAAUUCUCAAAGGGCAAAAAACAAAAGCAAAGUUUUAUAAUGUCAGAGACUAAAGAAAACUAAAAGAACCUAAGAGAACAAACAGUAUGUGUGUAUAUAUUAAAAAUGUCCUUGGAAUUAAUAGCUACUAAUUACCAGGGUAAUGAUAUUAGCACUUUCUAAGCACUUCUUAUCAAUGUGUAAUGUUAGCAACAUCUUGCCUAUGUGCAGGGCAAAUGGAAAACUGUGUAUGUCUUUUGCCGAAAUGCUAAUGAUUUCUGUGAAAAUGCAAUAGGGUUACAGGAGACAAUCAUUUAUGCUUAAGGAAGGAAGGUGUCAUUCCUAACUGUACGCACAUAUUGCUGGUGUAGAGCUAAAUUCCCGGGAAUGAAUGAAGACGCAGCUUAUCUGUACGCGCAGUCAGGGGGAGUGUGGUGGCACAAUCGUGGUGACCCGAAUUCGAAGCUUCCUCAGCCAGAGCUGAUGCUUGUCGGGUACCCUGACCUCUGGUCCUGGUCUGUGACGGGCAUCUGCAGGCUACUCGGAACUCGGGGCUCUUCUGAUGACUGGUUCUCAGAAUUGGAUUAAACCAGUCAGAUGUUUAACUGCCAGUUCCUGCAGCAACUGAAAACAUCCCCGAAUCACCUCCACCACUCACAGCAGUUGGAGCGUUCUGACCAAAAAGUGCAAGGUAUCAUCUUCUUUCUCCUUGCACGUGAUAGCGACCAUCGUUUACGAGAACAGAAUGCGGUUAUUGGGAAGUUUAGCCGGAGGAAAGCGCCCAUAGUUCCCCUGGUUGUGAAGAAGCAGCACACAUUUCCAUUUGGGAAAAGUAGCAAAGCUGCAUCAGGUACCUGUACUUUCUUUCUGUGUAGCCCAGAUUAAGAAAAUACAGUGUGAGGCUAAACUUUUAUUUCUUGAACCUUUUGAUCAGAUGAUACCCCAAAAGACCCCAGUGCACUCACUCCCCUGCCUCCAGGCAUCCACGGCCGUGUAAAGCUGAGGAGAGCAAGGUGGGUGCCUCGUGUGCUGCGCGUGGGUGCUGGGCCACCACCACGGGCUCACGGCAAGACGGGACUCUAUUCCGAAGUUGUUGGUGGAACUUAUGGAAGUCAUUAGUGGGAAUUAGUGGGAACAGUGUCUCCAACUUGGAAAUUCCUGUUUGGAUCUGAUUAUAUCAUUUAUCGUUCAUGCCUUGGGAGCAAAUUUUGGAGAACAGCGGGGGUACCUGUUAUAAAAUAAUGGGAAGGCUUUAAUUUUGACAGCUUAAAUUUUUGGUUUUCUAACUUUGAAGU